AAGGUAGCGAAAUUCCUUGUCGGGUAAGUUCCGACCUGCACGAAUGGCGUAACGACUUCCCCACUGUCUCGACCAGGAGCUCGGCGAAAUUGCAGUACGAGUAAAGAUGCUCGUUAAGCGCAGAAGGACGAAAAGACCCCGGGACCUUUACUAUACCUUGGUAUUGGCGUUAGGCGCGGAUUGUGUAGCAUAGGCGGGAGGCUUCGAAGCGGGUGCGCCAGCAUUCGUGGAGCCGCAAGGUGAAAUACCGCUCUGUUCUCGUUUGACGUCUAACCUCGACAAGUCAUCCUUGUCAGGGACAGUGCCUGGCGGGUAGUUCAACUGGGGCGGUUGCCUCCCAAAGAGUAACGGAGGCGCUCAAAGGUCCGCUCAGCCCGGUUGGCAAUCGGGUGUCGAGUGUAAUCGCACAAGCGGGCUUGACUGCGAGGACGACGGUCCGAGCAGGGACGAAAGUCGGAGAUAGUGAUCCGGUGCCGGCGCACGGGCGCGGCAUCGCUCAACGGAUAAAAGGUACCCCGGGGAUAACAGGCUGAUCAUUCCCAAGAGUCCAUAUCGACGGGAUGGUUUGGCACCUCGAUGUCGGCUCGUCGCAUCCUGGGGCUGGAGCAGGUCCCAAGGGUUCGGCUGUUCGCCGAUUAAAGCGGCACGCGAGCUGGGUUCAGAACGUCGUGAGACAGUUUGGUCUCUAUCCUCUGCGCUCGUUGGAAUCCUGAGGAGGCCUGCCCAUAGUACGAGAGGACCUGGGUGGACGAACCUCUGGUAUGCCGGUUGUCGCGCCAGCGGCACGGCCGGUUGGCUACGUUCGGGAGGGAUAACCGCUGAAAGCAUCUAAGCGGGAAGCCUGCUCCAAGAUUAGGAUUCCAUGGAUCUUCGAGAUCCUGUAGCCCGCAUGUUGAACACGUGUUUGAUAGGCCGGAGGUGGAAGUCCCGUGAGGGGUGGAGCCGACCGGUACUAACGGGCGAUGGCGACAUAAC
rnacentral:rRNA from 1 species